GGGCCUAUAGCUCAGCCCUGGUUAGAGCGCACGCCUGAUAAGCGUGAGGUCGAUGGUUCAAGUCCAUCUAGGCCCACCA
rnacentral:tRNA from 1 species